GGGAUACCACUUGGAAACAGGUGCUAAUACCGGAUAACAACAAUAGCUGCAUGGCUAUUGCUUAAAAGGCGGCGAAAGCUGUCGCUAAAGGAUGGACCCGCGGUGCAUUAGCUAGUUGGUAAGGUAAUGGCUUACCAAGGCGACGAUGCAUAGCCGAGUUGAGAGACUGAUCGGCCACAUUGGGACUGAGACACGGCCCAAACUCCUACGGGAGGCAGCAGUAGGGAAUCUUCCACAAUGGGCGAAAGCCUGAUGGAGCAACGCCGCGUGAGUGAAGAAGGUUUUCGGAUCGUAAAGCUCUGUUGUUGGUGAAGAAGGAUAGAGGUAGUAACUGGCCCCUAUUUGACGGUAAUCAACCAGAAAGUCACGGCUAACUACGUGCCAGCAGCCGCGGUAAUACGUAGGUGGCAAGCGUUGUCCGGAUUUAUUGGGCGUAAAGCGAGCGCAGGCGGAAAGAUAAGUCUGAUGUGAAAGCCCCCGGCUUAACCGAGGAAUUGCAUCGGAAACUGUGUUUCUUGAGUGCAGAAGAGGAGAGUGGAACUCCAUGUGUAGCGGUGGAAUGCGUAGAUAUAUGGAAGAACACCAGUGGCGAAGGCGGCUCUCUGGUCUGUAACUGACGCUGAGGCUCGAAAGCAUGGGUAGCGAACAGGAUUAGAUACCCUGGUAGUCCAUGCCGUAAACGAUGAGUGAUAAGUGUUGGGA
rnacentral:rRNA from 1 species